CUUCCAACGCCAAGCACAAUAACUGAACUCAACCUUGGCUCCUUAGACCAUUGCACCAUUCAAGGCAGGAUGCUGGAAAACGUUGAAAGAUCUUUAUCUUGGUUUGCAGCUUCCAGGAUGUAUGGUGUUCCAUUUGGACUCUCCUCAUGGACCUUGCAAACGUGAGGGACAAGUCUGUUCCCUGCCCUGGACAUGUGGCCUGGUUACUGUGAUUGCAAUAGGCAACAUUUACUGGAUGCUCGCGGUGUUAGCAGACAGCCUGGUUAAAACUUACAGACACCCUUUUCUAAGUCUCAAGAGCCUUUUUGGGGCCUAAGUGAGCAGUCUCCAGGACUUGCAGCUUUGAGGUACAACCUAAAUUACAACACAAAUGUUCCUGACAGCUCAACAAAGAGCAGCCCUGGAAAAUGGAUUCCAAAGAUACGGACAUGUGCCAACUCAGACCAUUCCCAUGUCUUCAUUCCCUUAUAAAACACCCAGUUGCUCACCAUGACUGUCCUGCUUGACAGUGUACUUAGAGAUCAAAAUAAACUUUUGUUUUUCCUAUGUUCCUUAUCUAUUGGUAAAUUCAUUUGCUACCCACAUCAAUGGCCCUCUAUACACCAUCUGGCACAGUGUACCCAGGAUCCACAACUUAAAGAGGAAAGGGUUUGGCUCAGGGU
rnacentral:lncRNA from 1 species